CUCGGNAACGGAUNUCUCGGCUCUCCCNUCAAUAAAAAACUUACCGAAAUGCGAUACUUGGUGUGAAUUGCAGAAUCCCGUGAACCAUCGAGUCUUUGAACGCAAGUUGCGCCCGAAGCCAUUAGGCCGAGGGCACGUCUGCCUGGGCGUC
rnacentral:rRNA from 1 species